rnacentral:rRNA from 1 species
CCUACGGGAGGCAGCAGUAGGGAAUCUUUCACAAUGGGCGAAAGCCUGAUGGAGCAACGCCGCAUGCAGGAUGAAGGCCUUCGGGUUGUAAACUGCUUUUAUAAGCGAGAAAUAUGAUGGUAACUUAUGAAUAAGGAUCGGCUAACUACGUGCCAGCAGCCGCGGUCAUACGUAGGAUCCGAGCAUUAUCCGGAGUGACUGGGUGUAAAGAGUUGCGUAGGUGGCAUAAUAAGGAGCUAGUGAAAUCGGGUGGCUCAACCAUUCAGACUAUUAGCUAAACUGUUAAGCUCGAGACCGUUAGGGGUAACUGGAAUUUCUAGUGUAGGAGUGAAAUCCGUAGAUAUUAGAAGGAACACCAAUAGCGUAGGCAGGUUACUGGGACGGUUCUGACACUAAGGCACGAAAGCGUAGGGAGCAAACGGGAUUAGAUACCCCAGUAGUC